rnacentral:rRNA from 1 species
AGGACGAACGCUGGCGGCGUGCUUAACACAUGCAAGUCGAGCGGAAAGGCCCUUCGGGGUACUCGAGCGGCGAACGGGUGAGUAACACGUGAGCAACCUGCCCCUGGCUCUGGGAUAGCCUCCGGAAACGGGGAUUAAUACCGGACAUUCACUUCCUUCCGCAUGGUUGGUGGUGGAAAGUUUUUCGGCCGGGGAGGGGCUCGCGGUCUAUCAGCUUGUUGGCGGGGUAACGGCCCACCAAGGCGACGGACGGAUAG